AUUUUGUCCGGAGGUUCAGCCACCUCUCUUGUCAAGGCACAGCAGGGGCUGUUGCUUGCCUGGGAACCCUGCCAAAGCUGUAACAGCACUCAAUUCACCUAGCAGGGGCCACCUGCUUCAGGGGCAUUGUGGACCAGUCCUCUGGACACUAGUUUUUGGAAGAAGGGACUUGACAGCCCCGGUGAGUGGUGAGAUUGAGUGGCACCAGGUGGACUGCUUGCCUGAGGCCGCUCACCCCAUGCAACUGC
rnacentral:lncRNA from 1 species